CUGUGGACACAGCGGGGGAGAAGGGCUGGGGUGGCCCAGGGGCCUCUCCUCACCUCUCCUGGAGCUGACCUCCCCCGGGCACACCCUGCUGACCUCCCCUCAGCUGCUGGCUCUCCCCCAGGAACACACCCCCACCAGGGAUCUGGCUAAUUACGGGGAAGCAGGUACCAGCUCACCGCUCACACUGGAGAAGACAGCAAAUAGAGCCCUCCCUGCAGCACUGCAAACUGCAGCCGGCACCAGGAGUCACUACCUCCGAGGUUCUUUCCUUCCUGAUAAAGAAGCAGACAUGACUUACUUGUAAAGACCACUAAUGUUAAGACGAUACUAGAUGACUUCGGGGAGUGGGGUGGUCACUCGACUGUGCUGGACUAUAAGGACUAAAUCUAGAAACAUCACAUGUGACAAUACCAAACAUUAAAGCAUCUAGCCUUGAAAUUAAAAUCCAAAACCCUGAAUUAUGCACUGAGGCUCCCUGUAGAGAGUAUGCAAGGCAUAAGGCACCUUGGAAGGGCAUAUGAACAACCAGUACACUGAGUGG